rnacentral:rRNA from 1 species
AUUGAACGCUGGCGGAAUGCUUUACACAUGCAAGUCGAGCGGCAGCACGGACUUCGGUCUGGUGGCGAGUGGCGAACGGGUGAGUAAUGUAUCGGAACGUGCCCAGUCGUGGGGGAUAACGUAGUGAAAAUUACGCUAAUACCGCUUACGAUCUAUGGAUGAAAGCGGGGGAUCGCAAGACCUCGCGCGAUUGGAGCGGCCGAUAUCAGAUUAGGUAGUUGGUGGGGUAAAGGCCCACCAAGCCAACGAUCUGUAGCUGGUCUGAGAGGACGACCAGCCACACUGGAACUGAGACACGGUCCAGACUCCUACGGGAGGCAGCAGUGGGGAAUUUUGGACAAUGGGCGAAAGCCUGACCCAGCCAUUCCGCGUGCAGGAUGAAGGCCCUCGGGUUGUAAACUGCUUUUGUACAGAACGAAAAGGUUUCUACUAAUACUAGGAGCUCAUGACGGUACUGUAAGAAUAAGCACCGGCUAACUACGUGCCAGCAGCCGCAGUAA